AACCUGUCUUACCAUCUAACCCCG
rnacentral:siRNA from 1 species